rnacentral:rRNA from 1 species
GAUGAACGCUGACAGAAUGCUUAACACAUGCAAGUCUUUGGCGAAGCUGUGCUUGCACCGCCUAGCCAAGGCGGACGGGUGAGUAACGCGUAAGGAACUUGCCCUGCAGUCAGGGAUAACAGACGGAAACGACUGAUAAGACCUGGUAAAGUCAGGCGGACUCAUGUCCAGCCUGAUGAAAAGAGAUGCUGCAGGAGAGCCUUGCGUCCUAUUAGCUUGUUGGUGGGGUAACGGCCCACCAAGGCGAUGAGAGGUAGCCGGCCUGAGAGGGUGGACGGCCACAAGGGGACUGAGAGACGGCCGUUACUCCUACGGGAGGCAGCAGUGGGGAAUAUUGGACAAUGGGGGCAACACUGAUGCAGCAAUUCUGUGUGUACGAUGAAGGUUUUCGGAUUGUAAAGUGCUUUCAGCAGGGAAGAAAAAAAUGACGGUACCUGCAGAAGAAGCGACGGCUAAAUACGUG